ACGGGGCGGAGGAAAGAACGGGGCGGGGGAGGGACCCACUUAAAGUCAGAGGUCAGAGACCAAAACCACACUGUGAAAAGAGCGAAGGUGCAAGCAGAGCUUGUGGCGCCCCACUUCCGGAUCACCUCGGGGAGGCAGGAAGCUGCACAUCUGCGGGCCGGGGCGCGGGAGACAGCUCCAGCGCUGCCUGGGCGGGGUCUUCCUCUCCCUGAGGCACCUGGGCCCGCCAAUCUCGCAGGGCGGGCGAGCUCACAGCGCAGGCAGCACUCCAGUGGGCGCCAGCAGGAGUUCUUCCCGGAAAUCGGACCCACGUGUUCUCUUGGCUGAGGCCGCAGCCGACCUGUCCUGAGUGGUGAGGAAGGUGAAGCACCAGAGCAGGGCUGCUCCGCCCAGCUGGAGGCUGAGGCCGAGCCCCUCCUCACCCGCCGUGGGGCAACAAUGUCCGCCCUCCCUCCUACCGUGCCCGCACGCCGCAGGCUUAAAAAGCGGGCGAUUUACGGGCUCUGCAGAAAUGAGAACAGCUUUGCCUUUGCCGUGGAGGCCGAGUAUUAGCAUCCUACAUUGACUUCAAAAGACCAUCAGAUGAAGACACUUCAUCAAAAGCAAGCUGUUUGCGUGUGAACAAUGCCCGAAGAAUGACUACUCAGUUUUGAGGAAUACACUUUGAGAAAACUCAUCCAGUACAGAUGUACUUGUAUAAUUUUCACUCAAUUUUAUUUUCAACGGUUUCAUAUACAACACAAGGAAAAAACGAUAAUUUGUGAAUAACAAGCAAUAAAACAAACCUUUAUACCACCCGA